GAUGAACGCUAGCUACAGGCUUAACACAUGCAAGUCGAGGGGAAACGGUAGAGAAAGCUUGCUUUUUCUAGGCGUCGACCGGCGCACGGGUGAGUAACGCGUAUCCAACCUGCCCACCACUUGGGAAUAACCUUGCGAAAGUAAGACUAAUACCCAAUGAUAUCUCUAGAAGACAUCUGAAGGAGAUUAAAGAUUUAUCGGUGAUGGAUGGGGAUGCGUCUGAUUAGCUUGUUGGCGGGGUAACGGCCCACCAAGGCGACGAUCAGUAGGGGUUCUGAGAGGAAGGUCCCCAACAUUGGAACUGAGACACGGUCCAAACUCCUACGGGAGGCAGCAGUGAGGAAUAUUGGUCAAUGGGCGAGAGCCUGAACCAGCCAAGUAGCGUGCAGGAUGACGGCCCUAUGGGUUUUAAACUGCUUUUAUAAGGGAAUAAAGUUAGCCUCGUGAGGCUUUUUGCAUGUACCUUAUGAAUAAGGACCGGCUAAUUCCGUGCCAGCAGCCGCGGUAA
rnacentral:rRNA from 1 species